GACGAACGCUGGCGGCGUGCUUAACACAUGCAAGUCGAACGGAAAGGCCCUGCUUUUGUGGGGUGCUCGAGUGGCGAACGGGUGAGUAACACGUGAGUAACCUGCCCUUGACUUUGGGAUAACUUCAGGAAACUGGGGCUAAUACCGGAUAGGAGCUCCUGCUGCAUGGUGGGGGUUGGAAAGAUUCGGCGGUUGGGGAUGGACUCGCGGCUUAUCAGCUUGUUGGUGGGGUAGGGGCUUACAAAGGCUUUGACGGGUAGCCGGCCUGAGAGGGUGACCGGCCACAUUGGGACUGAGAUAGGGCCCAGACUCCUACGGGAGGCAGAAGUGGGGAAUAUUGCACAAUGGGCGGAAGCCUGAUGCAGCAACGCCGCGUGCGGGAUGACGGCCUUCGGGUUGUAAACCGCUUUCGCCUGUGCCGAAGCGUGAGUGACGGUAAUGGGUAAAGAAGCACCGGCUAACUACGUG
rnacentral:rRNA from 1 species